CCGAGAGACCCGGGGACGCCCGUCUGGGGGCGGGGGCCACGCUGCGGGGCCGCCCACGCCGCGCUCCAGGAGCUGGGACUGGCAGGAUGGGCGUUGGGACAUGCUAAUCUCCCUCAAGACAGCCUGCUGGCAUCCUGGUCAUGGAGGACUGCAACGUGCACUCGGCUGCCAGCAUUCUGGCCUCGGUGAAAGAGCAGGAGGCCCGCUUUGAGCGACUGACGCGAGCCCUGGAGCAGGAGCGGCGCCAUGUUGCCCUGCAGCUGGAGCGUGCCCAGCAGCCUGGCAUGGGCAGUGGUGGUGUGGGCAGUGGGCAGCCCUUGCCAAUGGCCUGGCAACAGCUGGUCC